AUUUGGUACAGAAGGUUGAGGAACAAAGCUGGCAGAACGUGUCAACGAAUGAAGAUUUACGAGGCUUCCAGAAGGUGAACUGGCACCGGAAAUUGAAUUUAAGUUACUCACAGAUUUAUUGUUCGAGAGACUGGUUAGGGAUGCACUCUCUUUCAACGAUACUGUUGUGGCCUUGGAGGGAGAAAAGGGAACUGCUGAAGCAGCUCGUGCCAACGAAGAUUUGUGCGUUUGAAGGGCGUUUGCAGCUUUAGAACUAGAGGUCAUUAAAGAUACCGUUUUAGGAGAAUUGGCUGCCUGUUGGGCCGCAGCACCAUUUUUUCCAGAGGAAAGAGCUGAAGAGUAGGCUAAAUGAUUAGUACAUAACAUCAACAAGGUCGCAUACAUUUUGGCCUAGUGAGGGGUACGGACUCUUUAUUGGAAGCACUUGAAAUUGAGGUUUUCGACAACUUUAAGGGAGUGAAAGAUGGCGAAUUUAUACUGAGCUUGGUGGAAAAGCCAGAGUUUUGUGGAUCUAUUGCAGUAGCAGAAGGUGGUUUUGAAGAUGCCGGUGCAUUAUCCUAAAAAAAGAGAAUUGGUCAGUCAUUUAAUGUUUUAAAAGAAAAUAAUAAGAAAGAAUAAAAGCAAUAAUUAUAAAGCGAAAAGAAAACAAAGGUGAACCUAUCAAAAACAUAUAAAAAAACUCAACUUCACAUACUUGAUUUUUAUGUUGAAAAAAACACCCCUUAUCUAUGUAUGGACAUCUUCCAUAAAGUUGUUCAUUUCUACAGGGAAUGUUGGUUGAGAAUAUGGAUGAUCCUGAUUGAACAUGUAAGCUUAUGUUUGAAAUAAGAGCAAAAAA